rnacentral:rRNA from 1 species
UACGUAGGGGGCAAGCGUUGUCCGGAUUUAUUGGGCGUAAAGAGCGUGUAGGCGGCUAGGUAGGUCCGUUGUGAAAACUCGAGGCUCAACCUCGAGACGUCGAUGGAAACCAUCUGGCUAGAGUCCGGAAGAGGAGAGUGGAAUUCCUGGUGUAGCGGUGAAAUGACGCAGAUAUCAGGAAGAACACCCGUGGCGAAGGCGGCUCUCUGGGACGGUACUGACGCUGAGACGCGAAAGCGUGGGGAGCGAACAGG